GAAAAGGGUAUUGAUUAAGCAUACUAUGGUUUUGUGUCAUAGUAGCGAUAAUCCACUGGUAGGACCUGUCUCUAUUAUUAUUUAGUGAUAGUGUCCCUAUCAGUGCAGAAUCGUAAUCAAGAGAUUCUGGAUACAUAAUUUUUUGAGGAAAGGGAUGCCGAUGGCAACUGUCCAUUGGCGCCCAU